CAAGUUACAAGGUGAGUUUCCCACCAACUCCACCAACUUAUGUUGGUAACAAUAUGGAAACAUGUAGAGUAGCAAACUUGCCCUAAAAAAAUGGGUAGAAUUCUACACCUGUUAUUAAUUUUGAAGCUAUUAAUUAAUAUUGAAAUUCAAUAUUCAUACGUCACAAUAAACCCCUAAAAUAUUUCCCUCUUCCACUCUCAUUCACGAUUCUCUGGGUAGCACCAGAAAGUAGGGGCUUCAAAUUAUCUCUCACAAACACGAGUAGCUACGAAAUUCCAACGGGAAGUGUCGGCAAGUCAUAAGUCAUAAGUCACAAGAAUUCACACAGUAGCAAGUUGCGCGGCUUCGAGCAUCCACACAUUCAGAAUUCCCAUUGGUAUUUAGUGUGGAAAAAAAGGGCAGAUCGCGAAAGCAAAUAUAACACAUUGAGAUUCUAUAAGUUCACUUGGACGGACAAAGGAUGGCAGCUGUUAUGAAAAGAUAUGUUCUAAAGCUGUUUAUAUCUUUGAAGUACAUCACAGCAAAUGUAGUAGAUAGGAACAAUGGGAAGAUUGUUGCCACAGCUUCUACAGUUGAGCAUGCUCUCAAAAACACGUUUGAGUGUGGUCGGUCUUGCAAUGCAAAGGCAGCAACCAUUGUGGGAGAAGUAUUGGCGAGGCGUUUGAAGGUUGAAGGUCUCGAUGAUGGACAAGGAAGAGGGAUCCAUAUUAAUAUAAAUAAGGAGGUCGAGAGAAAAGGCUUUAAAAGUCGCACCAAGAUAUGGGCUGUUGUGAAUGCACUAAAAGACAGUGGCGUUAAGCUCGUACUUGAAGACAGGGAUGAUGAUGUUUGAGCAUAUUGUUAAUGCUACCCACAUUUUGUAGUUGGGUUGGAAAGGAUAAUGAUAUUUCUCCAUAUAUAUCCUAGAGUAGAGACGUUGAAUUUGUAUGGCUUGGCCAACUUCAUUUAGGACAUUGCUGAUGAAAAGAACUUACUUUGCUUGACACUUCCAGCAUUUCCAUAAAAUGCUAAGUUGCUUGGUGGGAGGUAGACGUCUCUAAUUAAGAUGCAACAUUUGAGCUUUUUGCAAAUGUAAUGACCUCAAGAACUCUUUUUUGACGGAGUGAUGAUCAGUGCUUCAUUUCUCUUUGUUAUAUUGACAAAUAUGAUUAUGAUUAGGUUACAUAUAUAUAUAUAUAUAUAUAUAUAUAUCAGUUUCUGUAGAUAUGAGGAGAUUAAUGAAGGUUAUUGAACAUUACUUUAGUAUUGUACUCCAAGCUUGGUGUUAUCCUAGUGUAUGUUAGUAUUUGGGUAUGGAUGAAUAAUUUUGAUGCCUAAUGAAGUAAUGAAGUGUAUAUAAGGAAAUAUGGCGAUAGUCUAUUCAUUUGGGCGACUUGUCAUGUACCGUUCUGUUCACCUGGAUUUUACUUAUAUCUUAUCUUAUUGCCUCUUUUAUAUUA